GACGAACGCUGGCGGCGUGCCUAACACAUGCAAGUUGAGCGACGAACCAGGGCUUGCCCUGGGGCAAAGCAGCGAACGGGUGAGUAACACGUGGGUAACCUACCCCGAUAACCGGGACAACCCGAGGAAACUCGGGCUAAUACCGGAUGUGCUCACUGGACUUCGGUUCAGUGCGUAAAGGAAGCUUCGGCCUCCGUAUCGGGAGGGGCCCGCGGCCCAUUAGUUUGUUGGUGAGGUAACGGCUCACCAAGACCGCGAUGGGUAGCUGGUCUGAGAGGACGAUCAGCCACACUGGGACUGAGACACGGCCCAGACUCCUACGGGAGGCAGCAGUGGGGAAUCUUGCGCAAAGCGCGAAAGCGUGACGCAGCAACGCCGCGUGGGGGAAGAAGGCCUUCGGGUUGUAAACCCCUUUCAGGAGGGACGAAGGUUCGGCGGUGAAUAGCCGUCCGGACUGACGGCACCUCCACAAGAAGCCCCGGCUAACUACGUG
rnacentral:rRNA from 1 species